rnacentral:rRNA from 1 species
CCGAGGAAAAGAAAUCAACCGAGAUUCCCCCAGUAGCGGCGAGCGAACGGGGAGCAGCCCAGAGCCUGAAUCAGUGUGUGUGUUAGUGGAAGCGUCUGGAAAGGCGCGCGAUACAGGGUGACAGCCCCGUACACAAAAAUGCACAUGCUGUGAGCUCGAUGAGUAGGGCGGGACACGUGGUAUCCUGUCUGAAUAUGGGGGGACCAUCCUCCAAGGCUAAAUACUCCUGACUGACCGAUAGUGAACCAGUACCGUGAGGGAAAGGCGAAAAGAACCCCGGCGAGGGGAGUGAAAAAGAACCUGAAACCGUGUACGUACAAGCAGUGGGAGCCUCUUUAUGGGGUGACUGCGUACCUUUUGUAUAAUGGGUCAGCGACUUAUAUUCUGUAGCAAGGUUAACCGAAUAGGGGAGCCGAAGGGAAACCGAGUCUUAACUGGGCGUUAAGUUGCAGGGUAUAGACCCGAAACCCGGUGAUCUAGCCAUGGGCAGGUUGAAGGUUGGGUAACACUAACUGGAGGACCGAACCGACUAAUGUUGAAAAAUUAGCGGAUGACUUGUGGCUGGGGGUGAAAGGCCAAUCAAACCGGGAGAUAGCUGGUUCUCCCCGAAAGCUAUUUAGGUAGCGCCUCGUGAAUUCAUCUCCGGGGGUAGAGCACUGUUUCGGCAAGGGGGUCAUCCCGACUUACCAACCCGAUGCAAACUGCG